rnacentral:rRNA from 1 species
GAUGAACGCUGGCGGCGUGCUUAACACAUGCAAGUCGGACGAGAAAGCCCGCAAGGGUGAGUAGAGUGGCAAACGGGUGGGUAAAGAAUAGGAACAUACCUUUUGGUGGGGAAUAACUCCGGGAAACUGUGGCUAAUACCGCAUGAGAUCGCGAGAUGAAAAGUGGCGUCGGGCAACCGCGCUAUUGCCGCAAGAGUGGCCUAUUUCCCAUUAGCUAGUUGGCAGGGUAAAAGCCUACCAAGGCGACGAUGGGUAGCUGGUCUGAGAGGACGAUCAGCCACACUGGAACUGAGACACGGUCCAGACUCCUACGGGAGGCAGCAGUGGGGAAUCUUGCACAAUGGGCGCAAGCCUGAUGCAGCAACGCCGCGUGAGUGAAGAAGGCCUUUGGGUUGUAAAGCUCUUUAGGUCGGGGAGAAGGGGAGUCGUGCUAAUACCACGAUUUUCUGACGGUACCGGCAGAAUAAGCACCGGCUAAUCUCGUGCCAGCCGCCGCGGUAACAC